rnacentral:rRNA from 1 species
AGAGUUUGAUCCUGGCUCAGGACGAACGCUGGCGGCGUGCCUAAUACAUGCAAGUCGAACGCACUGACGUCGACCGAAGCUGCUUGCAGUGGACGUUGAUUGACGUGAGUGGCGGACGGGUGAGUAACACGUGGGUAACCUACCCUUAAGUGGGGGAUAACAUUUGGAAACAGAUGCUAAUACCGCAUAACCAUUCAGACCACAUGGUCUGAAUGUAAAAGACGGCCUUUGGCUGUCACUUUUGGACGGACCCGCGGCGUAUUAGUUAGUUGGUAAGGUAACGGCUUACCAAGACAAUGAUACGUAGCCGACCUGAGAGGGUAAUCGGCCACAUUGGGACUGAGACACGGCCCAAACUCCUACGGGAGGCAGCAGUAGGGAAUCUUCCACAAUGGACGAAAGUCUGAUGGAGCAACGCCGCGUGAGUGAAGAAGGUUUUAGGAUCGUAAAACUCUGUUGUUGGAGAAGAAUAGGGACUAGAGUAACUGUUAGUCCUUUGACGGUAUCCAACCAGAAAGCCACGGCUAACUACGUGCCAGCAGCCGCGGUAAUACGUAGGUGGCAAGCGUUGUCCGGAUUUAUUGGGCGUAAAGCGAGCGCAGGCGGUUUUUUAAGUCUGAUGUGAAAGCCUUCGGCUUAACCGAAGAAGUGCAUUAGAAACUGGGAAACUUGAGUGCAGAAGAGGACAGUAUGAACUCCAUGUGUAGCGGUGAAAUGCGUAGAUAUAUGGAAGAACACCAGUGGCGAAGGCGGCUGUCUGGUCUGUAACUGACGCUGAGGCUCGAAAGUAUGGGGAGCGAACAGGAUUAGAUACCCUGGUAGUCCAUACCGUAAACGAUGAAUGCUAAGUGUUGGAGGGUUUCCGCCCUUCAGUGCUGCAGCUAACGCAUUAAGCAUUCCGCCUGGGGAGUACGACCGCAAGGUUGAAACUCAAAGGAAUUGACGGGGGCCCGCACAAGCGGUGGAGCAUGUGGUUUAAUUCGAAGCAACGCGAAGAACCUUACCAGGUCUUGACAUCCUUUGACCACUGUAGAGAUACAGCUUUCCCUUCGGGGACAAAGUGACAGGUGGUGCAUGGUUGUCGUCAGCUCGUGUCGUGAGAUGUUGGGUUAAGUCCCGCAACGAGCGCAACCCUUAUGACUAGUUGCCAGCAUUUAGUUGGGCACUCUAGUAAGACUGCCGGUGACAAACCGGAGGAAGGUGGGGAUGACGUCAAAUCAGCAUGCCCCUUAUGACCUGGGCUACACACGUGCUACAAUGGUCGGUACAACGAGUUGCGAACCCGCGAGGGUAAGCUAAUCUCUUAAAGCCGAUCUCAGUUCGGAUUGUAGGCUGCAACUCGCCUACAUGAAGCCGGAAUCGCUAGUAAUCGCGGAUCAGCACGCCGCGGUGAAUACGUUCCCGGGCCUUGUACACACCGCCCGUCACACCAUGAGAGUUUGUAACACCCGAAGUCGGUGGGGUAACCCUUUUAGGGCACUAGCCGCCUAAGGUGGGACAGAUGAUUGGGGUGAAGUCGUAACAAGGUAACC